rnacentral:piRNA from 1 species
UGAGACUCACAAAGUGGCUUCCCUUGGUC